rnacentral:rRNA from 1 species
CAGUAGAACGCUGAAGACUUUAGCUUGCUAGAGUUGGAAGAGUUGCGAACGGGUGAGUAACGCGUAGGUAACCUGCCUAUUAGUGGGGGAUAACUAUUGGAAACGAUAGCUAAUACCGCAUAAUAGUGUUUAACACAUGUUAGAGACUUAAAAGAUGCAAUUGCAUCACUAGUAGAUGGACCUGCGUUGUAUUAGCUAGUUGGUGGGGUAACGGCCUACCAAGGCGACGAUACAUAGCCGACCUGAGAGGGUGAUCGGCCACACUGGGACUGAGACACGGCCCAGACUCCUACGGGAGGCAGCAGUAGGGAAUCUUCGGCAAUGGGGGCAACCCUGACCGAGCAACGCCGCGUGAGUGAAGAAGGUUUUCGGAUCGUAAAGCUCUGUUGUAAGAGAAGAACGUGUGUGAGAGUGGAAAGUUCACACAGUGACGGUAACUUACCAGAAAGGGACGGCUAACUACGUGCCAGCAGCCGCGGUAAUACGUAGGUCCCGAGCGUUGUCCGGAUUUAUUGGGCGUAAAGCGAGCGCAGGCGGUUUAAUAAGUCUGAAGUUAAAGGCAGUGGCUUAACCAUUGUUCGCUUUGGAAACUGUUAAACUUGAGUGCAGAAGGGGAGAGUGGAAUUCCAUGUGUAGCGGUGAAAUGCGUAGAUAUAUGGAGGAACACCGGUGGCGAAAGCGGCUCUCUGGUCUGUAACUGACGCUGAGGCUCGAAAGCGUGGGGAGCAAACAGGAUUAGAUACCCUGGUAGUCCACGCCGUAAACGAUGAGUGCUAGGUGUUAGGCCCUUUCCGGGGCUUAGUGCCGCAGCUAACGCAUUAAGCACUCCGCCUGGGGAGUACGACCGC